UACGUAGGGUGCAAGCGUUAAUCGGAAUUACUGGGCGUAAAGCGUGCGCAGGCGGUUUUGUAAGUCUGUCGUGAAAUCCCCGGGCUCAACCUGGGAAUUGCGAUGGAGACUGCAAGGCUAGAAUCUGGCAGAGGGGGGUAGAAUUCCACGUGUGAGCAGUGAAAAUGCGUAGAUAUGUGGAGGAACACCGAUGGCGAAGGCAGCCCCCUGGGUCAAGAUUGACGCUCAUGCACGAAAGCGUGGGGAGCAAACAGG
rnacentral:rRNA from 1 species